GACGAACGCUGGCGGCGUGCUUAACACAUGCAAGUCGAACGGAAAGGCCCUGCUUUUGUGGGGUGCUCGAGUGGCGAACGGGUGAGUAACACGUGAGUAACCUGCCCUUGACUUUGGGAUAACUUCAGGAAACUGGGGCUAAUACCGGAUAGGAGCUCCUGCUGCAUGGUGGGGGUUGGAAAGUUUCGGCGGUUGGGGAUGGACUCGCGGCUGAUCAGCUUGUUGGUGGGGUAGUGGCUUACCAAGGCUUUGACGGGUAGCCGGCCUGAGAGGGUGACCGGCCACAUCGGGACUGAGAUACGGCCCAGACUCCUACGGGAGGCAGCAGUGGGGAAUAUUGCACAAUGGGCGGAAGCCUGAUGCAGCAACGCCGCGUGCGGGAUGCCGGCCUUCGGGUUGUAAACCGCUUUCGCCUGUGACGAAGCGUGAGUGACGGUAAUGGGUAAAGAAGCACCGGCUAACUACGUG
rnacentral:rRNA from 1 species